rnacentral:rRNA from 1 species
UACGGAGGAUCCAAGCGUUAUCCGGAAUCAUUGGGUUUAAAGGGUCCGUAGGCGGUUUAGUAAGUCAGUGGUGAAAGCCCAUCGCUCAACGGUGGAACGGCCAUUGAUACUGCUAGACUUGAAUUAUUAGGAAGUAACUAGAAUAUGUAGUGUAGCGGUGAAAUGCUUAGAGAUUACAUGGAAUACCAAUUGCGAAGGCAGGUUACUACUAAUGGAUUGACGCUGAUGGACGAAAGCGUGGGUAGCGAACAGGAUUAGAUACCCUGGUAGUCCACGCCGUAAACGAUGGAUACUAGCUGUUGGAGGUAACUUCAGUGGCUAAGCGAAAGUGAUAAGUAUCCCACCUGGGGAGUACGUUCGCAAGAAUGAA